rnacentral:lncRNA from 1 species
UGAAGUCUCAGUUGUGACCGGAGGCCAAACUGGAGUUAUUCUGUAGCUGGGCUGUAGGGAUCACCUUCAGCACCCUGGCGGGACUGGUCUUUGACUGGACGAUUGAGAAGGACACGCAGGCGGGCGGGUUCUCAGACUCCCACAGUGCCCUGCGGAAUAAAUCUUUGAAGUUAUGCUGGGGUAGAGGAUGGCCAGCUGCCCAGCAGCAUAGACUUGGAAAGGGGGCCUGUUUACCUGCUCUUCAAAUAUCUGAUCUGGCACCAUAUGACUUCUGGCUCUUCUUCAAAGUCAAAAUACAAUGACAAAUGUUUGGAAUGGAAUCAGAACAUCAAGGCAGCCCCGACUGUGCAACUAAAGAC